GUAACAUUUGUUGCUCUAAAUAAACAGAUUUGUUUGCGGCUAGCAAUAGUAAAUGCAUAUAUGAUGACAGUGACUACAAACCAAAAUUAAAUUAGUUAAUGAUUUUUGUGUAGAUUGGAAAUGUUGCCAGCACCAGCGGAAAAGAACGUAGACUGACCCACGUCCGGGAAUAAACAAAUGACAUCAAACCACCUUGAUCUUUUGCCACAAAUAACAGAGACCCAUGUUAAAGGGUGUUUUUAAAGGUUAUUUUCAAUACAGACAAGCAGCUGAUAGACAAACGAGAUGGCUAAUACAAAAGCAUUUGGGAAAGGAAACUGCUUUUAGAGUCUGAGAGAGUGGAAACAUUAAGCAUCAAUUGUCUAAAUGAGGACUUUUUUGUGACAGGAUUUGUUAGAGCAGCAAUGAAUAAAAGGCUCCCCCAUAAAAGCCGAAUAUAUGCCUCGUCGGUACAACCCAGAUCUUAGUGACCCAAGACCUCAGAAGUACAAAGAAAAUUGUGGAUACAAUGGCCAUGUGCGCAAUACUGUGACCAAUUACUGUGCUUCAACAUCAGCAGAUUUAUCUUUUAAAUACAUGAUGCCCAAGGCAUGUAUCAACUUUGCAGUACUGGGCCAUCAUUACUUGGACCUGCAAUUUACAUAUUGUUGGAUAGAUGCAGCUCAGAAGGUGUCACAGAAAGAUAUUGUUCACAUUGAGUAAACGACCAGGAAACAGAACCUAUCGAAAGUCUGGCACCAAGAGAGAAAAUGGCGUUUGAUUGCAUCCAGGUUUGGAGAUAUUUGCAGAGCUACUGAUCGCCACAACAAGCUGAAGCUCUGCGCUCGUAUUUGUAAACCUGCGAAACUGAAAAUACCAGCUGUGUUACAUGGCCAACAAUAUGAAGCUGUAGCUAGACAGACAUUUCAGACAAAAAUGGGUUUUAAUGUUCAAACUUGUGGUCUCUUCAUAGACCCUGAAAACAAUUAUUUGGCUGCUUUUCCAGAUGGUAUUGCUAGAGAAAAUGCUAUUGUUGAAAUCAAAUGUCCAUUUAAGGGCAGAUAUCGUAAGAUUGCUGCAGACAAGUUUUUUGCCCAUUUUUGGUAGAGGAUGAUGACAAUGCCUUACACUUAAAACAGAAUCGUAUAGUUAUUAUAUGCAGAUUCAAGGCCAGCUUAACGAGUGUAAGAAAGAGAGAAGUGUUUCUUUGUUGUAUACACAUUUGUUGACAUUUUUGUGGAAGAAAUCAAUAUUGAAAGAAAUUAUUGGCAUGGAUGCAUGUUACCAAAACUAAAGUUGUUUUAUGAGAAGCACUACAUGAAAUUUCUAACUGAAAAAUUAUAACUUGUGUCUUAGAUACAGGUAUACAUGCAGUUACAUAACUCAAUGAAAACAUGUUGAUAAAAAUACACUUACUAGACACAACAUUGAAAGUUUCCUUCCUAUGUGUGGAUAAUAUGAUGACUGCAAGUUUCAGAUUGUCUUCUUUUUUAAAUUCUUGUUUGAGUAUCAAGACUAAUGUAAUAUUUGGAUGUUUUCAUCAACCUCAUGUACUGCAUACUUUGUAAAUAUUGUAAAUAUUGUAAUGAAAAAAAAAGGUUUUACAAUGACACAUUUGUUUCACAUUCAGAAAGAUUGUGGUGUUCUAUUUUCUGGAGAUAUGAUUAAUUUGAGAAAUGUUGUAUACAAGUUGUAAUGCUUUUAGAAAUGUUGUUCAGAGUUAUUAAUGGUUUUGGAAUAGAAGAAUUGAUUAUCUAGACACAUGUACUAUUGCUCUUUAGAGAACAACAUGUAAGAAUUUAAAAUUAAAAAUGUGUAAGUAUGAAGUUUGUUCAAUGAUGCAAAUGUAAUUAAAAUA